rnacentral:rRNA from 1 species
AUUGAACGCUGGCGGCAGGCCUAACACAUGCAAGUCGAACGAGUGGCGGACGGGUGAGUAAGGUCUGGGAAACUGCCUGAUGGAGGGGGAUAACUACGGGAAACGGUAGCUAAUACCGCAUACCAUCAGAUGUGCCCAGGUGGGAUUAGCUUGUGGGGGGGGUAACGGCUCACCAAGGCGACGAUCCCUAGCUGGUCUGAGAGGAUGACCGGCCAAACUGGAACUGAGACACGGCCCAGACUCCUACGGGAGGCAGCAGUGGGGAAUAUUGGGCAAUGGGCGCAAGCCUGAUGCAGCCAUGCCGCGUGUAUGAAGAAGGCCUUCGGGUUGUAAAGCACUUUCAGCGGGGAGGCGUUACCCGCCGAAGAAGCACCGGCUAACUCCGUGCCAGCAGCCGCGGUAAUAC